rnacentral:rRNA from 1 species
GGGCCCGCACAAGCGGUGGAGCAUGUGGUUUAAUUCGAUGAUACGCGAGGAACCUUACCAGGGCUUAAAUGUAAGUUGCAUAAGCUAGAGAUAGCUUUUUCUUCGGACAGAUUACAAGGUGCUGCAUGGUUGUCGUCAGCUCGUGCCGUGAGGUGUCAGGUUAAGUCCUAUAACGAGCGCAACCCCUGUUGUUAGUUGCCAGCGAGUAAUGUCGGGAACUCUAACAAGACUGCCGGUGCAAACCGUGAGGAAGGUGGGGAUGACGUCAAAUCAUCACGGCCCUUACGUCCUGGCCACACACGUGCUACAAUGGCCGGUACAGAGAGCAGCCACUACGCGAGUAGGAG